CAUACGGCUCAGUAACGCGUAGUCAACCUACCCUAUGGACGGAAAUAACCUCGGGAAACUGAGAAUAAUAUCCGAUAGAACAUUAUGCCUGGAAUGGUUUAUGUUCCAAAUGAUUUAUCGCCGUAGGACGGGACUGCGGCCUAUCAGUUUGUUGGUGAGGUAAUGGCCCACCAAGACUAUUACAGGUACGGGCUCUGAGAGGAGUAGCCCGGAGAUGGGUACUGAGACACGGACCCAGGCCCUAUGGGGCGCAGCAGGCGAGAAAACUUUGCAAUGUGCGAAAGCACGACAAGGUUAAUCCGAGUGAUUUCUGCUAAAGAAAUCUUUUGUUAGUCCUAGAAACACUAACGAAUAAGGGGUGGGCAAGUUCUGGUGUCAGCCGCCGCGGUAAAACCAGCACCUCAAGUGGUCAGGAUGAUUAUUGGGCCUAAAGCAUCCGUAGCCGGCUCUGUAAGUCCUCGGUUAAAUCUGUACGCUUAACGUACAGGCUGCCGGGAAUACUGCAUAGCUAGGGAGUGGGAGAGGUAGACGGUACUCGGUAGGAAGGGGUAAAAUCCUUUGAUCUAUUGAUGACCACCUGUGGCGAAGGCGGUCUACCAGAACACGUCCGACGGUGAGGGAUGAAAGCUGGGGGAGCAAACCGGAUUAGAUACCCGGGUAGUCCCAGCUGUAAACUAUGCAAACUCAGUGAUGCAUUGGCUUGUGGCCAAUGCAGUGCUGCAGGGAAGCCGUUAAGUUUGCCGCCUGGGAAGUACGUACGCAAGUAUGAAACUUAAAGGAAUUGGCGGGGGAGCACCACAAGGGGUGAAGCCUGCGGUUCAAUUGGAUUCAACGCCGGG
rnacentral:rRNA from 1 species